rnacentral:rRNA from 1 species
AUUGAACGCUGGCGGCAUGCCUUACACAUGCAAGUCGAACGGUAACGCGGGGCAACCUGGCGACGAGUGGCGAACGGGUGAGUAAUAUAUCGGAACGCGCCCAGGCGUGGGGGAUAACGUAGAGAAAUUUACGCUAAUACAGAAUACGAUGUAUGAAUGAAAGCGGGGGCUCGCAAGACCGCGCGCGAUGUGCGCGGCUGAUAGCAGAUUAGGUGGCGGGUGGGGUAAAAGCCCACCAAGCCGACGAGCUGUAGCUGGUUUGAGAGAACGACCAGCCACACUGGGACUGAGACACGGCCCAGCCUCCUACGGGAGGCAGCAGUGGGGAAUUUUGGACAAUGGGCGCAAGCCUGAUCCAGCAAUGCCGCGUGCAGGAAGAAGGCCUUCGGGUUGUAAACUGCUUUUGUACGGAACGAAACAGCUCUUUCUAAUAAAGAGGGCUAAUGACGGUACCGUAAGAAUAAGCACCGGCUAACUACGUGCCAGCCGCCGCGGUAA